UACGGAGGAUGCGAGUGUUAUCCGGAUUUAUUGGGUUUAAAGGGUGCGCAGGCGGAUUUUUAAGUCAGCGGUCAAAUCGUGGGGCUCAACCCCAUCCAGCCGUUGAAACUGGGGAUCUAGAGUGUGCGAGAGGUAUGCGGAAUGCGUGGUGUAGCGGUGAAAUGCAUAGAUAUCACGCAGAACCCCGAUUGCGAAGGCAGCAUACCGGUGCACAACUGACGCUCAGGCACGAAAGCGUGGGUAUCGAACAGG
rnacentral:rRNA from 1 species